GACGAACGCUGGCGGCGUGCUUAACACAUGCAAGUCGAACGGUAAGGCUCCAGCUUGCUGGGGUACACGAGUGGCGAACGGGUGAGUAACACGUGGGUGACCUGCCCUGCACUUCGGGAUAAGCCUGGGAAACUGGGUCUAAUACCGGAUAGGACCGCACCGUGAGGGUGUGGUGGAAAGUUUUUUCGGUGUGGGAUGGGCCCGCGGCCUAUCAGCUUGUUGGUGGGGUAAUGGCCUACCAAGGCGGCGACGGGUAGCCGGCCUGAGAGGGUGGACGGCCACAUUGGGACUGAGACACGGCCCAGACUCCUACGGGAGGCAGCAGUGGGGAAUAUUGCACAAUGGGCGGAAGCCUGAUGCAGCGACGCCGCGUGGGGGAUGACGGCCUUCGGGUUGUAAACUCCUUUCACCAUCGACGAAGGGUUUCUGACGGUAGAUGGAGAAGAAGCACCGGCUAACUACGUGCCAGCAGCCGCGGUAAUACGUAGGGUGCGAGCGUUGUCCGGAAUUACUGGGCGUAAAGAGCUCGUAGGUGGUUUGUCGCGUCGUCUGUGAAAUUCCGGGGCUUAACUCCGGGCGUGCAGGCGAUACGGGCAUAACUUGAGUACUGUAGGGGAGACUGGAAUUCCUGGUGUAGCGGUGAAAUGCGCAGAUAUCAGGAGGAACACCGGUGGCGAAGGCGGGUCUCUGGGCAGUAACUGACGCUGAGGAGCGAAAGCAUGGGGAGCGAACAGGAUUAGAUACCCUGGUAGUCCAUGCCGUAAACGGUGGGCGCUAGGUGUGGGUUUCCUUCCACGGGAUCCGUGCCGUAGCUAACGCAUUAAGCGCCCCGCCUGGGGAGUACGGCCGCAAGGCUAAAACUCAAAGGAAUUGACGGGGGCCCGCACAAGCGGCGGAGCAUGUGGAUUAAUUCGAUGCAACGCGAAGAACCUUACCUGGGCUUGACAUAUACAGGAUCGCGCCAGAGAUGGUGUUUCCCUUGUGGCUUGUAUACAGGUGGUGCAUGGUUGUCGUCAGCUCGUGUCGUGAGAUGUUGGGUUAAGUCCCGCAACGAGCGCAACCCUUGUCUUAUGUUGCCAGCACGUUGUGGUGGGGACUCGUAAGAAACUGCCGGGGUUAACUCGGAGGAAGGUGGGGAUGACGUCAAAUCAUCAUGCCCCUUAUGUCCAGGGCUUCACACAUGCUACAAUGGUCGGUACAGUGGGUUGCCAGUCCGUGAGGGCGAGCUAAUCCCGCAAAGCCGGUCUCAGUUCGGAUCGGGGUCUGNCACUCGACCCCGUGAAGUCGGAGUCGCUAGUAAUCGCAGAUCAGGCACGCUGCGGUGAAUACGUUCCCCGGCCCU
rnacentral:rRNA from 1 species